GGAAGGUAUACUUAUAUGAAGGUAGCCUGGUAUGAAGGUAGCCUGGUAUGAAGGUAUUCUUGUAUGAAGGUAGCCUGGUAGGAAGGUAGCCUGGUAGGGAGGUAGCCUGGUAUAAAGGUAGCCUGGUAUGGAGGUAGCCUGGUAUGGAGGUAGCCUGGUAGGGAGGUAGCCUGGUAGGGAGGUAGCCUGGUAGGAAGGUAGCCUGGUAGGAAGGUAUACUUAUAUGAAGGUAGCCUGGUAUGAAGGUAGCCUGGUAUGAAGGUAUUCUUGUAUGAAGGUAGCCUGGUAGGAAGGUAGCCUGGUAGGAAGGUAGCCUGGUAGGAAGGUAUUCUUGUAUGAAGGUAGCCUGGUAGGGAGGUAGCCUGGUAUGAAGGUAUACUUAUAUGAAGGUAGCAUGGUAGGGAGGUAGCCUGGUAUGAAGGUAGCCUGGUAUGAAGGUAGCCUGGUAGGGAGGUAGCCUGGUAUGAAGGUAUACUUAUAUGAAGGUAGCCUGGUAGGAAGUUAGCCUGGUAUGAAGGUAGCCUGGUACCAGUUAUGGAAGUAUAUAUGGAAGUUGUUAAAUAUGAGUCACAUUUUUUUUAUUUUGAUCUGUCUUAUAUCUCUCAGUUAUAGGACAGACUUUUAAACAAACGUCCUUUAGAUUUUUUUGGGGGGGGAACUAUUUUGUGAAUUUAUUAUUCAAUGCGUUUCUAUGGGCUAAUAGCAAUACUGUAACUCUUAAGGAUUAAAACACCAUUAUUGCACACAAUGCAACUCUUUGUGACUUGCUAAGCACCUGUUUACUCCUGAAUUUAUUUAGACUUGGCAAUAACAAAGGGGUUGAAUACUUCUUGACUCAAGGCAUGUCAGAUUUU
rnacentral:lncRNA from 1 species